rnacentral:rRNA from 1 species
AACUUCAGGAAACUGGGGCUAAUACCGGAUAGGAGCUCCUGCUGCAUGGUGGGGGUUGGAAAGUUUCGGCGGUUGGGGAUGGACUCGCGGCUUAUCAGCUUGUUGGUGGGGUAGUGGCUUACCAAGGCUUUGACGGGUAGCCGGCCUGAGAGGGUGACCGGCCACAUUGGGACUGAGAUACGGCCCAGACUCCUACGGGAGGCAGCAGUGGGGAAUAUUGCACAAUGGGCGGAAGCCUGAUGCAGCAACGCCGCGUGCGGGAUGACGGCCUUCGGGUUGUAAACCGCUUUCGCCUGUGACGAAGCGUGAGUGACGGUAAUGGGUAAAGAAGCACCGGCUAACUACGUGCCAGCAGCCGCGGUGAUACGUAGGGUGCGAGCGUUGUCCGGAUUUAUUGGGCGUAAAGGGCUCGUAGGUGGUUGAUCGCGUCGGAAGUGUAAUCUUGGGGCUUAACCNNGAGCGUGCUUUCGAUACGGGUUGACUUGAGGAAGGUAGGGGAGAAUGGAAUUCCUGGUGGAGCGGUGGAAUGCGCAGAUAUCAGGAGGAACACCAGUGGCGAAGGCGGUUCUCUGGGCCUUUCCUGACGCUGAGGAGCGAAAGCGUGGGGAGCGAACAGGCUUAGAUACCCUGGUAGUCCACGCUGUAAACGGUGGGUACUAGGUGUGGGGUCCAUUCCACGGGUUCCGUGCCGUAGCUAACGCUUUAAGUACCCCGCCUGGGGAGUACGGCCGCAAGGCUAAAACUCAAAGGAAUUGACGGGGCCCCGCACAAGCGGCGGAGCAUGCGGAUUAAUUCGAUGCAACGCGUAGAACCUUACCUGGGUUUGACAUGGAUCGGGAGUGCUCAGAGAUGGGUGUGCCUCUUUUGGGGUCGGUUCACAGGUGGUGCAUGGCUGUCGUCAGCUCGUGUCGUGAGAUGUUGGGUUAAGUCCCGCAACGAGCGCAACCCUUGUUCACUGUUGCCAGCACGUUAUGGUGGGGACUCAGUGGAGACCGCCGGGGUCAACUCGGAGGAAGGUGGGGAUGACGUCAAGUCAUCAUGCCCCUUAUGUCCAGGGCUUCACGCAUGCUACAAUGGCUGGUACAGAGAGUGGCGAGCCUGUGAGGGUGAGCGAAUCUCGGAAAGCCGGUCUCAGUUCGGAUUG